rnacentral:misc_RNA from 1 species
GAGAAGAAGCCGACAAUGCCACCAUCGACCGAUUUCAUCUGACCGUCGGCCUGCACUUCGCCGCGCCAGUUGCGCGCGAUGUUGAAGGCGAUGUUGGUCGCGANNNNUUGCCCAUCGCGGGGCGUCCGGCGAGGAUGAUCAGGUCGGACGGCUGAAGACCGCCCAUCUUGGUGUCCAUGUCGCGCAGGCCGGAGGCGAGGCCCGACAGGUUGC